AAGUGCCGAUGAAUUUGAUAAAAGUAUACAAUUACAAGAUCCUACACUAAGUUGACAAAUUGAAAGUGCAUUACAUAUUAAGUUGGCCAGGUUUAUCCUUUAGUUCGAGUUGGAAGAGCCGGAGAUAUCAUCACACUAUCGAGUCAUUAUGUGAGUUGAGAAGAUGGUAUAUCAUCAUGAUUUAAGGCAUGUAUAGGAUAGACUAUAGGUAGAAUGAUAUUUUGACUUUGUAUACAUUAUAGCCAUGCGAAGAUGGCUCGCUUAUUUUGUUUAGAGAAGCCUUAUAAUUGAACUAAUGUGUUGAAAUGUUUUAGUUAAAA